CGGGACGGGUGAGUAACGCGUGGAAAACCUGCCGUAUACUGGGGGAUAACACUUAGAAAUAGGUGCUAAUACCGCAUAAGCGCACAGCUUCGCAUGAAGUGGUGUGAAAAACUCUGGUGGUAUACGAUGGUUCCGCGUCUGAUUAGCUUGUUGGCGGGGUAAUGGCUCACCAAGGCGACGAUCAGUAGCCGGCCUGAGAGGGUGAACGGCCACAUUGGGACUGAGACACGGCCCAAACUCCUACGGGAGGCAGCAG
rnacentral:rRNA from 1 species